rfam:Lachnospiraceae bacterium 28-4 genomic scaffold acPFn-supercont1.6, whole genome shotgun sequence.
GGGUUCAGAACGUCGUGAGACAGUUCGGUCCCUAUCCGGCGCAGGCGCAGGAGGCCUGCGGGGAGCUGCCCCUAGUACGAGAGGACCGGGGUGGACGGGCCGCUGGUGUACCUGCUGGGCCGCUUGGCCCACGGCAGGGUAGCCAAGCCCGGGAGGGAUAAACGCUGAAGGCAUCUAAGCGUGAAGCCCCCCCCAAGACGAGGCCUCCCACGCGGAAGCGGUAAGGCCCCCCGUAGAGGACGGGGUAGGUGGGCGCGGAGUGGAAGCGCAGCAAUGCGUGGAGCGGACGCGUACUAAUCGGCCGAGGGCUUACCCAU